rnacentral:rRNA from 1 species
UUAAGCGACUAAGCGUACACGGUGGAUGCCUAGGCAGUCAGAGGCGAUGAAGGGCGUGCUAAUCUGCGAAAAGCGUCGGUAAGCUGAUAUGAAGCGUUAUAACCGACGAUACCCGAAUGGGGAAACCCAGUGCAAUACGUUGCACUAUCGUUAGAUGAAUACAUAGUCUAACGAGGCGAACCGGGGGAACUGAAACAUCUAAGUACCCCGAGGAAAAGAAAUCAACCGAGAUUCCCCCAGUAGCGGCGAGCGAACGGGGAGGAGCCCAGAGUCUGAAUCAGUUUGUGUGUUAGUGGAAGCGUCUGGAAAGUCGCACGGUACAGGGUGAUAGUCCCGUACACCAAAAUGCACAGGCUGUGAACUCGAUGAGUAGGGCGGGACACGUGACAUCCUGUCUGAAUAUGGGGGGACCAUCCUCCAAGGCUAAAUACUCCUGACUGACCGAUAGUGAACCAGUACCGUGAGGGAAAGGCGAAAAGAACCCCGGCGAGGGGAGUGAAAUAGAACCUGAAACCGUGUACGUACAAGCAGUGGGAGCACCUUCGUGGUGUGACUGCGUACCUUUUGUAUAAUGGGUCAGCGACUUAUAUUUUGUAGCAAGGUUAACCGAAUAGGGGAGCCGUAGGGAAACCGAGUCUUAACUGGGCGUCUAGUUGCAAGGUAUAGACCCGAAACCCGGUGAUCUAGCCAUGGGCAGGUUGAAGGUUGGGUAACACUAACUGGAGGACCGAACCGACUAAUGUUGAAAAAUUAGCGGAUGACUUGUGGCUGGGGGUGAAAGGCCAAUCAAACCGGGAGAUAGCUGGUUCUCCCCGAAAGCUAUUUAGGUAGCGCCUCGUGAACUCAUCUUCGGGGGUAGAGCACUGUUUCGGCUAGGGGGCCAUCCCGGCUUACCAAACCGAUGCAAACUCCGAAUACCGAAGAAUGUUAUCACGGGAGACACACGGCGGGUGCUAACGUCCGUCGUGAAGAGGGAAACAACCCAGACCGCCAGCUAAGGUCCCAAAGUCAUGGUUAAGUGGGAAACGAUGUGGGAAGGCACAGACAGCCAGGAUGUUGGCUUAGAAGCAGCCAUCAUUUAAAGAAAGCGUAAUAGCUCACUGGUCGAGUCGGCCUGCGCGGAAGAUGUAACGGGGCUAAACCAUGCACCGAAGCUGCGGCAGCGACGUUUAGGCGUUGUUGGGUAGGGGAGCGUUCUGUAAGCCGUUGAAGGUGACCUGUGAGGGUUGCUGGAGGUAUCAGAAGUGCGAAUGCUGACAUAAGUAACGAUAAUGCGGGUGAAAAACCCGCACGCCGGAAGACCAAGGGUUCCUGUCCAACGUUAAUCGGGGCAGGGUGAGUCGACCCCUAAGGCGAGGCUGAAAAGCGUAGUCGAUGGGAAACAGGUUAAUAUUCCUGUACUUGGUGUUACUGCGAAGGGGGGACGAAGAAGGCUAGGCUGGCCGGGCGACGGUUGUCCCGGUUUAAGCGUGUAGGGGGAGUGACCAGGUAAAUCCGGUUGCUUAUCAACCCUGAGGCGUGAUGACGAUGCACUACGGUGCAGAAGCAGUUGAUGCCAUGCUUCCAGGAAAAGCCUCUAAGCAUCAGGUAACAUUAAAUCGUACCCCAAACCGACACAGGUGGUCAGGUAGAGAAUACUCAGGCGCUUGAGAGAACUCGGGUGAAGGAACUAGGCAAAAUGGUGCCGUAACUUCGGGAGAAGGCACGCUGGCGUUAGGUGAAAGGACUAGCUCCUGGAGCUGAAGCCAGUCGCAGAUACCAGCUGGCUGCAACUGUUUAAUAAAAACACAGCACUGUGCAAACACGAAAGUGGACGUAUACGGUGUGACGCCUGCCCGGUGCUGGAAGGUUAAUUGAUGGGGUCAGCCGCAAGGCGAAGCUCUUGAUCGAAGCCCCAGUAAACGGCGGCCGUAACUAUAACGGUCCUAAGGUAGCGAAAUUCCUUGUCGGGUAAGUUCCGACCUGCACGAAUGGCGUAAUGAUGGCCAGGCUGUCUCCACCCGAGACUCAGUGAAAUUGAACUCGCUGUGAAGAUGCAGUGUACCCGCGGCAAGACGGAAAGACCCCGUGAACCUUUACUAUAGCUUGACACUGAACAUUGAGCCUUGAUGUGUAGGAUAGGUGGGAGGCAUUGAAGUGUGGACGCCAGUCUGCAUGGAGCCAACCUUGAAAUACCACCCUUUAAUGUUUGAUGUUCUAACUCGGCCCCAUGAUCUGGGGUGAGGACAGUGUCUGGUGGGUAGUUUGACUGGGGCGGUCUCCUCCCAAAGAGUAACGGAGGAGCACGAAGGUUAGCUAAUCACGGUCGGACAUCGUGAGGUUAGUGCAAAGGCAUAAGCUAGCUUGACUGCGAGAGUGACGGCUCGAGCAGGUACGAAAGUAGGUCUUAGUGAUCCGGUGGUUCUGAAUGGAAGGGCCAUCGCUCAACGGAUAAAAGGUACUCCGGGGAUAACAGGCUGAUACCGCCCAAGAGUUCAUAUCGACGGCGGUGUUUGGCACCUCGAUGUCGGCUCAUCACAUCCUGGGGCUGAAGUAGGUCCCAAGGGUAUGGCUGUUCGCCAUUUAAAGUGGUACGCGAGCUGGGUUUAGAACGUCGUGAGACAGUUCGGUCCCUAUCUGCCGUGGGCGUUGGAAGAUUGAGAGGGGCUGCUCCUAGUACGAGAGGACCGGAGUGGACGAAUCACUGGUGUUCGGGUUGUCAUGCCAAUGGCAUUGCCCGGUAGCUAAAUUCGGAAGAGAUAACCGCUGAAAGCAUCUAAGCGGGAAACUUGCCUCGAGAUGAGUCUUCCCUGGGGCUUAAAGCCCCCUGAAGGAACGUUAAAGACUAUGACGUUGAUAGGCUGGGUGUGUAAGUGCAGCGAUGUAUUGAGCUAACCAGUACUAAUGAUCCGUGAGGCUUAACCUU